CCCCUCCGUCCUGAAGAGUUUAACUCAUACCUUCUUGCUGGUUUGGACAGUGAAUAUGAUCCACUCGCCGAUCGCAUCUCUGCACGUUCUCUUACUGACCCUAUGCCAAUGAGAGAUGUCUACGCUCAGCUACUCAAUACCGAGC